AGGGGUGUAGCUCAGUGGCAGAGCACUUGCCUAGCAUACAUGAGGCCUGGGCUUCAAUCCCUAGCACCACAG
rfam:Heterocephalus glaber contig237360, whole genome shotgun sequence.